UACGGAAGGCAGCAGUGGGGAAGUAUUGCACAAUGGGCGCAAGCCUGAUGCAGCCAUGCCGCGUGUAUGAAGAAGGCCUUCGGGUUGUAAAGUACUUUCAGUCGUGAGGAAGGUGUUAAGGUUAAUAACCUUAGCAAUUGACGUUAGCGACAGAAGAAGCACCGGCUAACUCCGUGCCAGCAGCCGCGGUAAUACGGAGGGUGCGAGCGUUAAUCGGAAUUACUGGGCGUAAAGGGCACGCAGGCGGUUAAUUAAGUUGGAUGUGAAAUCCCCGGGCUUAACCUGGGAAUGGCAUUCAAGACUGGUUAGCUAGAGUCUUGUAGAGGGGGUAGAAUUCCAUGUGUAGCGGUGAAAUGCGUAGAGAUGUGGAGGAAUACCGGUGGGCGAAAGGGCGGCCCCCUGGGACAAAAGACUGACGCUCAUGUGCGAAAAGCGU
rnacentral:rRNA from 1 species